AUACGGAGGGUGCAAGCGUUAAUCGGAAUUACUGGGCGUAAAGCGUACGUAGGCGGUUCGUUAAGUUAGAUGUGAAAGCCCCGGGCUUAACCUGGGAACUGCAUUUAAAACUGGCGGACUAGAGUUGACUAGAGGGGAGUGGAAUUUCAGGUGUAGCGGUGAAAUGCGUAGAGAUCUGAAGGAACACCAGUGGCGAAGGCGACUCCCUGGACUCGAACUGACGCUGAGGUACGAAAGCGUGGGUAGCAAACGGGAUUAGAAACCCGUGUAGUCC
rnacentral:rRNA from 1 species